rnacentral:rRNA from 1 species
AUUGAACGCUGGCGGCAUGCUUUACACAUGCAAGUCGAACGGGGUGAAGGGGCAACUCUUCAUUCAGUGGCGAACGGGUGAGUAAUACAUCGGAACGUACCCCGUAGUGGGGGAUAACUCGGCGAAAGCCGUGCUAAUACCGCAUAUGCUCUACGGAGGAAAGCAGGGGACCGCAAGGCCUUGUGCUAUGGGAGCGGCCGAUGUCCGAUUAGCUAGUUGGUGAGGUAAUGGCUCACCAAGGCGACGAUCGGUAGCUGGUCUGAGAGGAUGAUCAGCCACACUGGGACUGAGACACGGCCCAGACUCCUACGGGAGGCAGCAGUGGGGAAUUUUGGACAAUGGGGGCAACCCUGAUCCAGCCAUGCCGCGUGCGGGAAGAAGGCCUGG